AUGGGGACCCAGACCUCGGAGGCGGGGAAGGAGAUGAGGGAGUGGUGCGUCGCCCUCCCCAAGGUGGAGCUCCACGCCCACCUCAACGGCUCCGUCCGCAACUCCACCCUCCUAGAACUAGCAAAAGAACUAGGUGACAAAGGAGUCAUUGUCUUUGAAGAUGUUAAGGAUGUGAUCAAGAAGAGUCUUAAGUCUGUCAAAGACGUUGAUGUUGUUCUAAACGAUGAAAAAUUAAGUUGUACACCAAUGAGUGAUUUGGGUGGCAACGCAAAGAGAAAGAAGAUAUAUGUUAGGCUCCUUCUGAGUAUUGACCGUCAUGAGACAACUUCUGCUGCAUUGGAUACUGUUAAUUUAGCCAUGGAAAUGAAGGACCAGGGUGUAAUUGGCAUUGAUCUCUCUGGCAAUCCAGUUGUAGGGGAAUGGGAGACAUACCUGCCUGCUCUAGAACAUGCUAAAGAGCUGGGAAUCCCCACCACAAUUCACUGUGGUGAGGUACCAAACAGGAAGGAGAUCCAAGCAAUGCUGGACUUCUGCCCUCAAAGGCUGGGUGAUGUCUGCUGCCUGGACGACGAAGAGUGGAAGAAGCUCAAGUCAUCAGUGAUCCCGGUGGAGAUAUGUUUAACCUCCAAUGUUAUGACCGGAGGCACCCCUUCUCUUGAGCUUCAUCACUUUGCUGACCUCUACAACGCGAAACACCCCCUGUCGAUAUGCACCGACGAUUUUGGCCUCUUUUCGACGAGCCUCUUGUUGAGUAAAUAG
rnacentral:rRNA from 1 species